CAGUCGCCGCGGGAAUACGUAGGUGGCAAGCGUUGUCCGGAAUUAUUGGGCGUAAAGGGCUCGCAGGCGGUUUCUUAAGUCUGAUGUGAAAGCCCCCGGCUCAACCGGGGAGGGUCAUUGGAAACUGGGAAACUUGAGUGCAGAAGAGGAGAGUGGAAUUCCACGUGUAGCGGUGAAAUGCGUAGAGAUGUGGAGGAACACCAGUGGCGAAGGCGACUCUCUGGUCUGUAACUGACGCUGAGGAGCGAAAGCGUGGGGAGCGAACAGGAUUAGAUACCCCGGUAGUCCAUGUCUCUUAUAC
rnacentral:rRNA from 1 species